rnacentral:rRNA from 1 species
ACGCACGCUGGCGGCGUGCUUAACACCUGCCAGUCGCACGGAAAGGCCCUGCUUGCAGGGUACUCGAGUGGCGAACGGGUGAGUAACACGUGGGUGAUCUGCCCUGCACUUCGGGAUAAGCCUGGGAAACUGGGUCUAAUACCGGAUAGGAGCCAUUUUUAGUGUGAUGGUUGGAAAGUUUUUUCGGUGUAGGAUGAGCUCGCGGCCUAUCAGCUUGUUGGUGGGGUAAUGGCCUACCAAGGCGGCGACGGGUAGCCGGCCUGAGAGGGUGGACGGCCACAUUGGGACUGAGAGACGGCCCAGACUCCUACGGGAGGCAGCAGUGGGGAAUAUUGCACAAUGGGCGCAAGCCUGAUGCAGCGACGCCGCGUGGGGGAUGACGGCCUUCGGGUUGUAAACUCCUUUCGCUAGGGACGAAGCUUUUUGUGACGGUACCUAGAGAAGAAGCACCGGCUAACUACGUG